rnacentral:rRNA from 1 species
AACGAACGCUGGCGGCAUGCCUAACACAUGCCAGUCGAACGAGACCUUCGGGUCUAGUGGCGCACGGGUGCGUAACGCGUGGGAACCUGCCCUUAGGUUCGGAAUAACUCCCCGAAAGGGGUGCUAAUACCGGAUAAUGUCUUCGGACCAAAGAUUUAUCGCCUUUGGAUGGGCCCGCGUUGGAUUAGCUAGUUGGUAGGGUAAAAGCCUACCAAGGCGACGAUCCAUAGCUGGUCCGAGAGGAUGAUCAGCCACACUGGGACUGAGACACGGCCCAGACUCCUACGGGAGGCAGCAGUGGGGAAUAUUGGACAAUGGGCGAAAGCCUGAUCCAGCAAUGCCGCGUGAGUGAUGAAGGCCUUAGGGUUGUAAAGCUCUUUUACCCGGGAUGAUAAUGACAGUACCGGGAGAAUAAGCUCCGGCUAACUCCGUG